rnacentral:rRNA from 1 species
AUGAACGCUGGCGGCGUGCCUAAUCCCUGCAAGUCGCGCGAACAGACGAGGAGCUUGCUCCUCUGACGUUAGCGGCGGACGGGUGAGUAACACGUGGAUAACCUACCUAUAAGACUGGGAUAACUUCGGGAAACCGGAGCUAAUACCGGAUAAUAAAUUGAACCGCAUGGUUCAAUAGUGAAAGACGGUUUUGCUGUCACUUAUAGAUGGAUCCGCGCCGCAUUAGCUAGUUGGUAAGGUAACGGCUUACCAAGGCGACGAUGCGUAGCCGACCUGAGAGGGUGAUCGGCCACACUGGAACUGAGACACGGUCCAGACUCCUACGGGAGGCAGCAGUAGGGAAUCUUCCGCAAUGGGCGAAAGCCUGACGGAGCAACGCCGCGUGAGUGAUGAAGGUCUUCGGAUCGUAAAACUCUGUUAUUAGGGAAGAACAAAUGUGUAAGUAACUAUGCACGUCUUGACGGUACCUAAUCAGAAAGCCACGGCUAACUACGUG